rnacentral:rRNA from 1 species
AUGAUGCUAACUGCCUUGGAGUGGGAAGAUGGCCCAUCUUGUGCUCUUUUCUCGGAGGGGACCGAAGACUAUGAGUGGAUGAAUCAAAAAGUAGACAUACUAGUCAAGCAUGUGCAGACACCAAAUGCUUCUAGCUCUGAUGUGCAGAAUUCAAUCCCAUCAGUGCCAAACUUUGACAACACUCCUCAAGUUGAAAGGCCUAGCAACCUCCCAACCGCAACAUUUGACACAACUCCAAAGCUCCCUAGGGCAAACGACAUUCCGGGGCCUGUGUUUGAUGUGUCCCCCAUCUCAUUCAAAAACGCUUCCUCCGAUGGACCUCAAGUAGUAGUGGAUUUGCACGAGACAACCGAGGCGAAUGUUGCGGUCAGGGGUGAGUCCAACAGUCUUGGUAAACAGUCAAAGAAGAAAAGGGUGGCUGUCUCCCCAGACAAUGUGCCAACGAUGAAGAAGAUUAAGGUUGAUGCACACGGUGAUGCCUUACACCAUCACUAUGUAAUGACCAGAUACAAGACAAGAAAACCAAAGAAAAACGAGCUUUUUCCCAACUUCAUUGAAAGAGAUGGCUUCCAUACAUCUCUCGAGAAUUUUCAUGCAUCUCUAAAGCCAAGAGCGGAGAUUGACAAUGAGGUCAUGACCUUAUACCUGAAGACAUUCAACUAUGAUCAGUCAGUGAAGAAGAAGAAGCCAAAAAAAUUUGUUUUCUCAGUGUUGAUGAGUUUGAAACUCAGUGCUGAGCCAGAUGUGUUUGAUCCGAAGGUGUGCGAAAAAGAAUUUAAGAAUGCUUGCUUACAAAAUCACAUUUCAAAAUCUGACCUGCUAUUCUUCAUGGUUGUACACAAAAAGCACUGGGCAGUAGUUGUUGUUAACAUCACCCAAAAGGAGUUCAAUAUCUUUGACUCCAUUAGGAACUCGGAAGACCUUUUUGAGAUGGACAGGAUCACUAAGAAUGUGGUCGCAAACAUCAAGAGUGUUGCAAUGAGGGAGCCACUUUUUAAGCACAAUCUCGAGUCUUACUCGCUAUUCACCCCACUUGAUUACCCUCAACAAAAAACUUACUGCUUUUGCAUUUUAUAA